UCUGAGCUGGGAGAACAAGGAAGGGCUGGGUUGGCAGGGCACCCCACUGUCCCCAGGAAAAGGAGCAAGGAAAAGUUCCCUUCUCAAUCCCCUUUCUAGACCAGCUGAUACUGGGAUGCCACCCUUGGGGUAUGAUACUUACCUGUCUGAGCCUAAAUUUCCUCAUUUGUGUGAAAGACAGAGAAAGUCAUCAGAGAAAGCCCUGUUAUUAGUAUCAAGCAAACGAACUAUGGAUUAAUUUCCUAGAUUCCUACCUGCCCUAAGGCUGAUGGAUGAGACUUGUCAAGUUUGCUGCAGAUGAUGACAAAGCAAGGGCUUAAGACAAGAGGACUCCUGCUAAGGUUAGGUGCCGAGCCCACCCCACCAUGACCUUACACACCUCCGGAAGAGGAAGGUCUGGAAGAAAGCUGCAGACCAUCUGCAGAUUUCCAUCUUCCCGGUUUUCCAGGGAGAGAAGAAAUUCACUGUCUUUGUGAGUCGGGCAGGUAGCGGAAAUGGAGCAUGCUUGGGGUCUGCAGACUGUAUCCUUAGGCCUUUGCGUGGUGCCUGGCCAGGAACAAGUGCUCAGUAGAGUUGCCAAUAAUGUCAUCUCCCCGGUGGAAACCAGUGAGCAAUGAGACCUUCACGAAAGAUGAAAAAAGACCUUGUAGGAUGAAGAAAAGAAAGAGUCCUGGCAAUAUUCCUGCCAAGUGAGAGGCCACGAAGCACGGAAUGAUUUAGAGAGGACCACACACAGCGCCCCAGGGCCAGACACAGCCACUUCCUGCUCUGUGAGCAUCCGGGCCCCCUGGAAUCUCCAGGGCACCCCCGCUUCAGUACCUCUGCGGAGAGGGAUUUCUGCCGCCUAUUCCACUCCGUCACCUAGGAGAUGAACUCAGCAAAGAGGAGCAACUUGAAUUCACCUUGGACUCUCAGCAGGUACAGAGAAAACAACUUAGGAGAAUUGACUGUAGAGAAGUGUUUACCAGCAGUCUUCAAACUUUUUGGCACCAGGGGCCAGUUUUGUGGAAGACAAUUUUUCCAUGGACUGGGUAGGGGUGGGGGGUUGAUUUUGGAGUGAUUUAAGUACACUGCAUUUAUCGUGCACUUUGCUUCUAUCAUUAUUACAUCAGGCUCCACCUCAGAUUAUCAGGCCUUACAUCCCAGAGACUGGGGAACAACACAGCUGAAAAAUGACCUCCCAGACCUGUCUUCUUCCCAAAAUCUGAUCUUUAAUACUUUCUGUAAGACCUAAAACAUUGCAGGAAAUUGAGCUGAAUUGAAGCAAAACCUCAUGUAAACGUAUUGCUGAACAUUUCUGUGUUGCUUUUAUUAUGAGAAAAAAAAAGAACAUUCCAAUAAUUUUAGCUAUAGCUAGAAGCUUUGCUUUUUUAAGUCUGAUAUGGUAUAUUUUUAUCAAAAUGACAAAGUGAAGGUAAUAGAGGAAGGGGCUUUACAGUCGCAAUACUAUUAGGAGAUUUCUGUACCCAAACAGGAAAUCUAAAGACCUGUAAACUGGAAGCCGAAGUGAGUUCAUUUGAGACUCUUAAGUACACACACUUGCCACUACCUGUCUCAAAAGCUUGUCUGAGACACAGAAGUCUUAAUUAAAUGCAGAUGAAAAGGUGUCCUGAGUUGAUUUUCUCGUUUAACAUUAGACUUUCUUGAAUUAAGCAGCUCAGUAAGAAACGAGACAUAAUUGAGUCUUGCUUUUAAUUAAACAUAUAGAGAUAUAUUUAUUUAUUUACUUGUUCCACUAAGAUAUUGCUGAAUUUUCAUUAACGCUGCUGAUUUUUUUUCUUUCCAUAGAAAAAUACUCUUGUUAAUCUUGCUUGAAUGCAAUUAAUUGUGCUGUGUUUAUCUUCCUGGCUUCACCAUUAAUUCCAGUGUAGAACCAAUUAUUUUCCAGUGUAGAACCAAUUAUUUAUAUUUUUCACUGCUCCUAACAUCCUCCCUACUGAACAUUCAUCAAUAAUGCCAUGACUCACAGUACACUUUUAUUUUGGGUGGAAGGAAGUGAGGAAUCAGUUUGGAGGAAGAAAUGAGAGAGAGGUGUCUAUAAAAGACGUUUCAUUGGGUAGCAUGGAUUGGAAAUGUCCCUGAUGAAGGACACAAGUGCCUACUUUUGGAUAUAAUUACGGUGCUGUGAUUGCUUUCUGCCUUACUCUUUCUUUCUCCAGAUGCAGAUGACAGGCUAAGAAAAGAUUCCUAUAGUUACUGCACCUCUAAACACCCAACAAACAGGAACAGUAAAACACCUUAAGAGACUGUGACAUAUUGAUUCACUACACACCUCUGGCCAGGUCGGGAGUCAGGACCUGAAACAACAUACGGGGACAGCUCAGAUUCUGUCUCUGUGGGAAGUGCCUACCAGUCUGAGCAUCCAAGGCUUAAUAGAAAACCAAGCCUUCAAACAAACUGGGGGCUUUUAAUCAAGCACUCUCUGAAUCACAUUUUGUACUCCACUCAAAGGACUGCAGCCAGACAGCCCCACUUGGCUUUUGAUUCCCCCUUGAACUGGGCAUCAUCCGUGGCCAUAUGAGUAGGCGGAGAAGAAGUAAAUAGAAGUCACUUCCAAUUCACAGCAUGUCUCCAGCUGCCUUUUUUGCUCUCUGCAGACACCCAGGAACACUGGUACAGCAGAGACUCUCAUCAUUUUGGAGAAGAGAGUGAGCUGAUUACAUAUCACCUAAGCCUUAUUAAAACCCCUGACUGAAAUACGUCCACUGGUGAAAUAAUAUUUACCAGGCCUCUAUAUUUUCAACAUACACCUUCACUUCCAUGUAUCAAUACUUGGCUUUAGUCUCUGGUAGUUACUAGCCUGAAGGUAGCUCUGAGUUCUCCCAUGAAUCUAGUGAUUAAGGGUCUUGCUCUUAACACACUUUCAGAGUCAUGAGCAUCAGCCUCUGAUAUUAAUGAAUAAAUGGGUGAGUUGAGUAUUGCUGGCAGGCAAAGUGGGUUCUAAAGACCCUCCACGUGUUUAUGAGGACAAGCUCCUGUCUCCACUCCAGGCAAGGGCAAAUCAGAUCUUCCAAAGCCUUUCUCUUUCCCACUUGCCAUCCUCUGGUUUCACUGAAGGAUCUGGCAUGCAUGCAUGCGUGCUAAGUCACUUCAGUUGUACUCGACUCUUCGCAACCCCGUGGACUGUGGCCCUCCAGGCUCCUCUGUCCAUGGGAUUCUCCAGGCAAGUGUACCGGAAUGGUUGCCACGCUCCGCCUCCAGGGGAUCUUCCCAACCCAGGAAUCGAAACUGUGGUUCUUACCUCUCCUGCAUUGGCGGGCGAGUUCUUCACCACUAGCGCCACCUGGGAAGGCCCGAGGGAACCAGAGGGCAUACCUAACAAGAACAUUGUGUUUGGAUGGGUCAGGUCUGCAGGGUAGCAGUGCUUGUCCUAUCACUUUGUACGCCGAGUCGGUUUAUGUUUGAUUGGCUUCUUUGGCAGUAACCCAACAUAGGGAAGUAUAAAUUCCAUGAUAUGUUCUGCUCAUCUCUAGACUAUCAUGCUAAGUUGUUUUCCUCCCCAGCCAAAGUUUAAUAAGAAGGGGAAAGAGAGAAAUAGUUGACAGUUCCUGAGCACCUACCAUGGGCCAGGUACUGUGCUAAAUACUUCACAUGCAUUAUCUUAUUUCAUCUUCAUGUGUAAAAGGGAGACCCAGAGGGCCCAAAGAAGUUAGGUUACUUGCUCAGGACCACACAGCUGAUGAAGCGCAGGGUGUGGGGCCCUCUGACUGCGUACUGCCUCUCCUUUAAGCACCUGCCUGGGGAGCUGGCCCUAAGGUUUACCUGGUGAUAGGAAGAGAUGAAAUCUAGAAGCGUCGACAGCAUCUCUACUCCAAAGAAAAAGGAACUAUUGUCAGAAAACACUGCAACCGCUGUGGCCUUCUUUCCAGGAUAAGAAUAAAUUUGCUGAAUUCUCCUUUAAGGCACUAAUGACUGGGCUGCUGAGCUCCACGAGCUAUUAUUGUUUUCCAGGCUGACACUAGGCUGGCUCUCUCUACUUUCAGGCUAAUAAUUAGAUCUAAAUCCCUGACAGGACUCUCACCACCACCCCAGGGGGUUCUAGAUUUCUUUACUAUUGCUUGUAAAGAUUUCAUUUAAAAAAAAAAGCCCUUUGAAGCUAUAAGUUACACUCAGGCACAGCUUAAAAAAAAAAUCUAUUAUCUAUUUGAGUCUUUUGAAGAACACACACUACCAUCUCUCUCCUCACCUUCAGAGAUCAAAUCUUAUUUUUAUCUCCAAUUUGAAGACCAAAGAUCCCCAGGAGGACCAGAGAAGGGAGCUUCAUCAAAUGUCAUUUCCAUCAGUACCUGUGUCUUUGAGAGGCUCACUGGGGUAGCAUCCAGGCUAUCGGAAUGUCUUAACUAUACAUUUUCUACAUAUAUGUGAAAAUUAUGGCGGCGGCUUUGCUCCUCAGGGGGAGAAAUAUGAAACCGCUUUUUAUAUGAACAAAUGAAUCUUGGCCUCGCGCGAGGUCGCUCUGAGCCAGGCCUCGGGCCUUGCUGUUUACCCAACGCUGCCCUGCUCGCCUCCCCUCCCACGCUGAUCUGCAACCGCGCUUGAGUGGCUGUGAUCAUAGAAAGCAGCCAUCUGACCCAAAUGGGGCACUCCAAAUCUUUGGAGGAGCAAGAAAAGCCACACAAAUGUGAAGCUGGCUCAGGUGGGGGAUCAUGGGCCUCAUUAAUGUGUGUUAAAGCCACUGAGUGGCUUCUCGGGGGACCCAGUCACUCAGGAAAAACCUGUUCUGAGACCGUCUCAUCACUUUAUAUGAUGACUCCUUUGGAGAAUCCCUGGUGCCUCUGAGGAGGGAGGCAAAGCGCCGGCUGGUCUCUCUUGACUAAGUCUGGUCUGUUCACACAGUAAAUGAUUCCAGCCAGAAGGCCCAAGGAAGAGAUUUGGUAAAUAUUCCAGCCACACAUUUCAACCAAGUGUUUUCUGGGAGAUUGCAGUGAAGACUUUUUCAGAGGCAUAAAAUCAUAUGAGUGUUU